GCCGAGGUGAUGGAAUUGGUAGACAUGCCUGGCUUAGAACCAGGUGCUUUGCGGCGUGCAGGUUCAAGUCCUGUCCUCGGUA
rnacentral:tRNA from 1 species